UGCCAGAAGCGGUUUAGUCAUGCUGGCCACAUGACCUGGCCUGAAGCGAGAUGAGUGCUGCACCACAUAGUCUCCUUUGACUGGACUUAAUCGUCCAGGGGUCCUUUACCUUUACCUUACCUUUUCCUUCUGGGUUAGAGGAGACAAGUCAGUGGACAAAUUCAAUGAAAAAGAAGAUGAGCAACUGCUACCACCAAUUCACUCCCUCAUCUAGCAGAUAUAUUGCUUCAGCAGUUGGAGCAGGUCAGCAGGCCCCAGCUGUUCCCCUUGAGACUUCCUGGCUCUCCGAUCUUCCUCAACAGGUUGAGUGGUGAGUCGAUAGCAGUGGGAUGCUAGGAGGUAACCACCUUGUCCUUUGCCUUAGGCAGCAAAAGUUACUUAUUUGCCCUGUCCCAGAGCCUGCUAUUUUUGCCAUUUUAACCUCUGCACAUGAUGCACGACUCUUUUAAAUCUGACAAGGCAGUGGAAACGCUAGCAGCAAACAAUGAAAAACAAGGCUUGUGGGGGGAAUAAUGGCUGGUGCAUGAGGGCUUGUGCGCUUGGCCACAUUCCUUGGGCUGUUAUGGAAGUGUUUGGAAAUUUAGUUACUGCAAGACUAAAAUUUGCCUAUUUGGGACAUGUCGAUGCCUCCCAUUUGUACCUUAGAACUUGGAAAUCUUCCUUUUAUAAAAGACCUACAUUGGUGUUUGUUUUUUUUUAAAAAAUCAACAACCCUCUAAAUGGAUGUUUCUUCUUCCCAUCAGUUCAUGCUUCCAGCUAUGAAGGAUUUAUCUACCGUGACCUCUCUGAUUUAGUGUUUUGUGCCAUUGGUAAUCAUGUGUCUUGGGCUCCCAUAAACAUUCUCAUGGCACAGGGACAAGGCACCUUAAUAAGGUCAGUGCCAUCAGAGCCUUGUAGUUACGAAGGCUUGUGCUUGGUGGAACAGAACUGUAUUCAAUGAGCCUUGUUUUCAUUUGUGGGCAACUCAAACGGAUUGGACAAGGAAUGUGUGAAAAUUGCUUUUUGACAGAGAGCAAGACACAAUGAAUAUCAUGAGGGUACUUUUUUCCCCCUUUGCCGUCAUGAAUCAUAGGCCUCUAUGGUGAUCGAGAAAAGUGAGACUGUGGAGCUUUUUAAUGCGCUACCAGCCAAGCAACUGAAUUUUUCAUAACCCCUUAUGGUUUUACACAGUUGAACAAAAGAACAGUUCAUAAUAUUGUACCAGAGGUGUUUGCUUAGUGUUAGUGGUACACAAAGGAAGGUUUCAAUGGGUUGUGGCUUUGUUUGGUAGCCUAUUCAUUUCUGACAAACAGAAUGUCCUUGUUUCAUUUUAUGAGCUGACUGAUGAACUUCAGGUUAAUGCAACUAACAUCAACAUCACAGGAGGUGAGCAACAUUAUGGGAGGAGAAAACUUUGGAAACCUUAUGAGAAGCUGGUGAAAGUGAAGGACUGCAAGGAACAUCAUGCAAAGAGUGUUUAUAGGACCAAGGUGAAACUGUAAAGCUCCCUUGCUAUUUUUGUUAUUGGAUGCUGGAUGUAAUCAUGUAUUUAUAGUUCUGAAAUGUUGUUUUUGGAUAAUAUUGUAUUUGCUAUUGUGUUGUUUUGUUAUGUGAAUAGGACAUUCUUUUUGUACUGCUUGGUUUUGAAAUGUAUUUUGUUGUAAGCUGCUUUGAGUCUGGUGUGUGUGUGUGUGUGUGUGUGUGUGUGUAAACGUGACACACAAAUGAAUGAAUGAAUAUUCUUGUUCGACAUGACAAAUCCUUUAGGCUGGAUUCCAUCUGUUUUCACAUUUUGAGUACCAGAUUACUGGAGGGCAGGAACCCAGAGUAAACAUUUUCACUUGCACUAAAUAUAGAUCAGCCACACCCAUGAUCAUGAAAUGUCUUUUCUUUAAGACAUACUGUAUAUGAUGAUAAAAUGGUUGUGAUCCAUGAAUAAUGUGUGAAGGGAGUUUGUACUUUACAAGUCAUCACAGUAGCAUGAACAUCAGAAGAGCUAAGCUGGAUCAGGUCAAAGGUUGAUCUUAGUAAAAAAAACACAGCCCCCCCCUUUUGUUAUAACAAUUUAAUUUAUAACUUGUUUAUAGCAUUUUUUCUUUCUGUGUGUAGAUCCAUCCCUGGUCACAGCGGCCAACCAGAUGCUUCCGGGAAUCUCAAAAAGAGGGCCUGAAGGCAGCAGCCCUCUCAGCUGUUGCUCCUUAGAGGUCACUAUUUCUCUGAACCUGAAGGUAGUAUAUAGCCAUCCUAAUUAAUAAGCAAUGGUAAUCUAAUCAUUUGUGAAUUAAUCUAAUUCCAUUUUGCAGGUAUCUAAGCAAAUGCCCCCUGCCAUAUCUGGUGGUUAGGAAUUCCAUAAAUUCAUUAUGUGCAAGAAUCACAGGAUGACCCUGAGUGUUAUGAGAUAAAACUCGUCUCUGUCCACUUUCUCUACACUGUGUGUAGUUUUAUAAAUCUCUGCCAUGUCCCCCAUUAAUACACCCCCCCCAAACUAAAAGGUUCCCCAUUCUGGGCUUUUUUUCAGCUGGAACCUCUCAGGUGGGCACCAUUGCCAUUCUAAGAGAACAAGGGAGGCCUUCAUGGUGAGUUCUGGCACCUAUUUUUCUAGAAAAAUGGCACUGCCCUCAAUGCGUCAUCUCAGGGGUGGGAACUACAGCCCUAGGAGCCAAAUGUAGCCCCCUAAACCUCCCUACGUCGCCCCAGGGACCACACCCCUUCCUGGCCACAGCCUUUCUCCACAAGACGCAAUCGCCGCUGCACCUGCUCUCUGCCCACCUCAAGAUUAUGUGAUGUCUGGAUAGAGCUUGGGGAGAUAAUGUGUGCAUGUAGAAACCUCUGAUUUGUAUGUGGUUGGAAUAUAGUAAUGCAACAGUAAGAGUUGCAUCUAGUGUCCUUUCGCCUUUUGCAAUCACUGUCAAGUGACUCUUGGAAGGGUCUCCAUGAGGGAAUGUGUCUUUUGGGUUGGUUUCCCCGUGUAACCCUGAAGAUUUAUGCUGAUAUCCUAACUCACCAAAUGAGUGGCUUUUGUAGUUAAAUUUCUCUAGUUCCUCAUUUAUUUCCAAGAGCUCUACAGUUUAUUUGUGUGAGGUGGACGCAUAGAAUUAGGUUCGGUUGUUUUGCAGAAAUACAGCAUGGGCCCUUUAAAUAAAAGAGUAAUUUUCCUCUACACUUUCCCCUCAUAAGUAGGCCACCCAAGAGUUCCUGUUUCAUAUCUGUAACACGUCGAUAAUGCAGCAGUUUUAAUUAGGUAUUAUGCAGAGGGGGCUAGGUCAUGCAUUUUAAUACCAAAGUUGAAAGAAGUCUGUGGAACACUAGAGGUCAGUUUUGCAUGAUAAUAAAAUUAUUUUUUCCUUGCAGGGCAGAGGUCAGUAUCCUAACUAAGGGUUUUUUUAGAAUUUCACGGUGAAUUUCAUGAAUAUUUAUUUGUUAGGGCAUAUAUUAGCAAGCUGGGAGAGUCUGAGCAUUUACACGAAGUGUGGGUGACUAAUUACAAGCGAAUCACAAGACCCAGCCAAAAAGAGAUGGAAAGAACAAUACUGAGCCAAAAUAUAGAAUCAACCUGGAGAUGACUUCUCCUUAGAAGCACAGCACUGCAGAUCUUUUUGGAUCAUCUGGUGGCUAGCAAGUUUGUGUUUUCAAAACCUGCUUAUGAAAUAGCAUGUAAUAUGAUAUGAUAUUGAAUGCCCUCAUCAAAACAAGCCCACCUUGAGUGAGGUUGCAUGAGCAUUUGUAGGGUUUGUAGAUGAAGGCCUGCCAGCCCAUAAGGCAAGGUAAGGCAACCAUCUCAGGUGGCGGGGUCCAGAGGGGCAGAAGAUCCUGAUGCAGAUCUUUUUUCUCCCCCAUGUCCCUGAAGUAGAUCUUUACUCACCCCUUUUGCCCUGGUGGGGUGGGGAAAACCAUUUUUUGGUUCACCUCAGAUGCCAAAAUGUCUUCGGCCGACACUUUCCUAGGCCAUAUUAUUUUCAUUUUUUUUAAAGCCUUUUUCUUAAAAAUUAAUAAUAAAUCCUGCUACGUUAGCUUCGCUUUACAUAAGUAAUCUCCUUUCCACAUACACGUAUAUUCUAUGUCUGUAGCAAAAUGGCAUAAACCAAAAUGCGGUUAUGUGGCCAGAAUUCAUGUUACAAAGAACAUAUUGAAAUUUUCAAAAAUACUUACUCCACACAGGUGAAGUGUGCAGGGUUGAAAGAGCAAAAUAAUUCUGAAUGAGAAAGAGCUGCAAAGCAAGAUGGUCUCAAUAUUACAUGAAAAAUCAUUGCAUAUUAUAUAUUUGUGACAUGGUUUGCUUGUUCCCUGAACCUGUUUCAAGGCACUUCUAAAGCUUUAGAUGAGUAGUGGCUAGAGAUGGUUGGGUCAGUACAUUUGCUGCUUUGCAUUUUAAGUCUCUUCAACUCCAUUUUCUUUUCUUUCUUUUCCAUUUUUAAAAAAAUAUCAUUCUUCACACCACACAUAAAACAACAUAACUCACAACACACCAAAUGCUUUGCUUAAAAAUAUCAAAUCAUAUUCUUACAGUUCCUCCCAAAAAUUAUUUCAGCGUAUUGCCAUGAGAUCUCAGAGGAUUAUGAGCACAAUCUUCUUGAUGCAUAAAAUCCAUUGAACCACAUUUGCCAUUUUGUUGCCUAUUCGCUUAGUUUGAAGAGAUCCUUUCGGAAGAAGAAGCUUCAAUGCAACAGACUCUCCCUCAGGCUACUACUCAUCAUAACAGCAAACACAACUGGUUGGCCAAAGCUAUGUUUGUCAUUGAAUUGAUGGUGUUUCUGGGUUUUAUCACUUUCCACAAAUUCUAGACCACUCUAUUACUUAGCAAAUAUGUUCAUUCUCAAAGUGUUGCUGGCUCCCCCCCCCCCCCCGCUUAUCAGACAAAUCACCUAGACUCCUGCUUAUGCAUGAGCAUGGAGGAAAGCUAUUAAACCAUUGGAAAGGGGGCAAAAUUAAAUUACAGCCAAUUAAAAUGCAACAGGCAAUGCAAUUGCUUUACCUUUGAGAAGGCCUCACGCCUAUUGCUAUUCAGUUCAGCCUGGAUGUACAUGUUGCUGCUCCCGCUUGCUAAAUGGAAAUAAUUGCUUGGAAUUUGCAGUGUCAUUAACAUUGCACAGAAAUGACUCUAAUCUUCAUGGAAUUCCUGCAUAAUUAUUUGCAUUACAUGCUAGCACCUUUUACAUCUCUCAUCAUCAUCCUUCUGUGCUCUUUUUGAGCUUUUGGGUCUGUAAUAUUCAAGACUGCUUAAUUCAGAGAGUAACGUUUUAAAAAGACAACUAAAAGACUCGUGAACAUUUGAAAAUUGAAGGGCCCUGUUCUAGCUAAAGUUCCAGUAUGAUCCUAUACAUGUCUACUCAAAGGUAAGCCCCACUGAAGACAUUGGGGCUUACUCCCAGUGAAGUGUGCCUAGGAUUCUCACGAUUAAGUCCUACUAAAACCUAUGGAGCUAGUCAGCUAUGGUUCACCUAAGUUCAAAAGUGAGGGGGGGGGGAAUGGCCGCAGGUCUUUGUUCCUGCCAUCCACCUCAAGAAUCAAAAUCUCUUGCACUGAUCCUGUUCUUAGUAACCUCAAAGUCACCAGCUCUGGGAAAGUCAGGCUGCAUUUUUGUGUAAUCAGCCUGAAACCGGUGGCAAGCUUUAUUUAUGAAGACAAAAUGAUGUAAACAAAACCAAAAGAAGAAAAUAUAAUAAAAUAACAAAACAACAUGGAUGCAAAAUGAAUUAGCAGUGCGAUGAUUUAAACCACAGUGCCUCAAAGUCACAUUUUUAUAGGAGCGAAAGCAAACCUGAGUGCUCAUUCCCAAACUUCACAUUUUCAAAUUGAAUAAGCAGUGCUUGAUUCAGCCCUGGCUGAAAUUCUAGAGGUGCAACUUAAUUAUAAUCUAUGAGUGUUGAAAAGAUGUAAAUAGAUGGGAAAGCAGUCUGUAUGGGCCGAUCUCGUGUCACGGCAAAAGUAAACAACAAAAGUAAGCAACAACCCAAAAAAGAAUUAGGGAGGCAAACUGAUAGAUGUAUAGUUCAGUUGAUCCAUCUUGGCACAUCAUAAUUUGCAUUUUCCAAGUACUGGAUCACAAAGCUCAGUGUACGCUGACAUUGUAUGUUACCUCCUUUUACAAUGAGUAAAUAGACUAUUUGGGGAACAGGAUUAUGACAGCAUCAUUCUGACGUCUCCCAAAAUAAUUUUGUUGGGAGAAAAUAUGUAGUUAUUAUCUUUUGUCAGCAUAUUACACUAAUAUGAAGAUCUAUUUAGCUGUGAUAUUAAGGGCGGUCAGGUGUCCUGCUUACAGAGGGCAGCCCUCUAUUUGAAAAAAGUCCUCCAUUAGAGUCCAGGGCUGGUUUACAGAUAUGGAACCACAUGAAAGCAGAGUAGGGGCCUUGAAAUAGUAAGAAACUAUAUGGAAAACAGACUAGGCAUAUUAGGGCACCUUGUCACAGAACAUGCCACCAUGGUGAGAUGUAUGGUGUGUGUUUGUGCUUAAAUUAUAAUAAUUCUUUUGUAAUUUGCACUUAUAUGCACACGUUAGCAUUUGAAAAUUUUAUUCAACUUGAUGUCCUUUUUGUGUAAUAUGCAUUUCCUUUUUUCUUCCUCUUGUGAUGUGACAGGGAAGCCCUCAAGGGCACAGCAGCAGGCCAAGAUGCAAAGAUUCUUCAGACUAAAGAUUCACUUUGGGAGGAAUGGAGGGGGGCAUGCAGGGAGGGCUCGGUCAAAUGGUGUUUAACAAUAUGGGAGAAGGGAGUGGGUAAAAUUGAUGGUGUUGUGAAGAGGAGUGAACUUGCUAACAGGGAACUAACUUAAGACUGAUAACAUCCGGCAUCAAGGCCUGCUUGGCUGACUCUUUAAUUUUCACAGGCAUUCAAAGUCAUCAAACAGAAAGGGGAGGAAUUUACACUCUCCUGUCACUUCAAAAUUGCUUCUCAACAGAGAAUGAAGAGGCUGUUUUAGGGGGAGAAUGUGUGCCUUCCAAACCUGGCCUUUAUACUUUUGUACACCAUCCCAAUCUCUGAGCAACGUGGAAUUCCAGGGGUUCAGGGUUUGUGUUUCCUUUGGGAAUGAGGCACGAUGGAGACUGUGGUGUCUUUAUGAUAUAUGGUUUAAUUACACAUAUAUACAACCUGAGCCUGCGAUGAAGGGGGGGGGGUGUCACAGCAUUAACACCUCAAAAGGGUCUUGUUUCUCCUGUAACCACAACCUUGGAUUCAAGCAAAGAUUAGGUGUUGCUCUCAAACAUUUCUCUGACUCUCUCUCCAACUUGCUGCUUCACUUCUUAUCAUUCUUACUUCAUAUCACUGCAAUUCAUUCUAUCUUAUUGAGUGAGGGGACCCACCACCUUGCUGUCUCACACAGUGCCCCUUCCUUUUGUUCCCCUUAAUGGCCCAUCACCCAGGCUAUCACCUUGAGUUUGUCAACACUUUGUUAACAAGGCCAUCACUUUAGGAGUCAAUGCAAUUCAUGUUUUGGAAAAGUCUUAUGUGUCUCUACAUGUCUUAUGUGUGACAAUAUUUGACAUGCAAACUUUCAUUGCAUACAGUGGGAAAGGUUUGGUUAUUUGCAGGGAAACCUCGCAGAGCCUUUUUAUUGAUGUUCUGCUGUUGCCACUGGCUCUUAUAGAUUUUCUACUGAAUAUAAUGGAACUUAUGUCAAACACUUUGGAAGCCCAGCUAAUCGUUUACAAGUAAUUUGCUUGUUAACUGUUGAUCUUAAGGAUCUGUAUUAGUCGUUAAAACUUUGGCUGGCCUUGCAGCACCAUGUGACCCUGAAAAACACAUUUCCUUUCAUCAUCUUUCAUUAUUUUUACGUGGGGUAUGUAUUUGGAGUGGCACUGGGAACUUGCCACAUUCAGCCUUAUCUGGAGUCUUCAGCUUCUACCAAACAAGACAGGACUGUUAGCACCUGCCUUGAAAGAUCCAGUUUCCAAGGAUUUCUGACGUAUUCCACAUUCGUGCAUAUUGCAGCUUCUGGCAUAAUUCCACCCCCCAACUCUUUUAUCUAACUUCAUUUGUAGAAUUGUUCCUCACAAUCAUGCACGGAUAUCAACAAACAUCACUGAGGCUUCAUUGACUCUGUUUUUAAAGGACAAGCCUCCAGCCAUGCAGAUAGCAUUCUCGUUGUUUCGAGCAUUCCUCAGUGCCUUUCUUCUGCCUUUUAUGCCCCAAACUUAUUCUUCCACGGGGAGAAGAAAAUCCUAGCCUGAAGUCAACUGAGCCUGAAGCUUCAGCUUUGAAGGGCUGCUAUGCAGGAGAGCUAAAAUACUGUUCUGGGGUACACUUGAACAGUCAUUGCCAGAAGGAACUGACAGCUCCUUGUGGGGAACGGAAAAAGGUGGAGUUAAUUGAGCAUGGCAAGGGAGAUUGAAAGCAAACAAGACAUAUUUCUGCUUUUCUUUCUUUCUAAAAGUAGGAUUCAAGGUGAAUAUCAGCUAAGGCACCAGAAAGGGCUAUUUUGAAGCAAUAAAACCGAUUAGACAUUUUCUUUUGAGCUUCCCAAAUGAGUCCCUACCCUUUUUACACACUAAUGAGUUAACUGUCCCCUCCCCCCAUAGAAAUCCAUGGAAAUUUGACAUCCUUCCACAGGGCCUGCAAGACAGAGCUGUUCCGCCAGGCCUUUGGUCAGGGUUCAGCCUGACUCAUUUUCUCUUUGUAUAAGAACAAGCACGAAGAAGGUUCCCAGCCCACUCAUAGGUCCUUAUAAUAUCAGUGGAAACAGUUGGUCUUGGUGAGUAUUAGCCACUUCCAGUUUUAACCUGAAGAUUGCCACUUGUCCAGUUUUAAUUUUAAUUUAAGAAUUAAUUGUGGGAUGUAUCUUAAUUGAUUGAUCGCUUGUAUUAUGCAUAUCGUCUAAUUUAUAUGAUGUUAGCCACUCUGAGCCUGACUUUGGCCGGGGAGGGCGGGAUACAAAUAAAAUUUGUUAUUAUUAUUAUUAUUAUUAUUAGUCAGGAAACUAAUCAGAGGCAUUUCUCUGUUGCAAUGAACUGACUCUCUCAGUAUAGGUCAGUUUCUGCUACCUUUUUUUCUGUUGAGGAGCACAUUCCAUUUGGGUAAUCUGUCAGGAACCACACGCCAGUAGAAGGUGGAAGGCAGAUCCAAAGGUGUGUCGUCCAUUUGCUUUCCUCUGCCUUUCUGUCGCUCCUUCACACUCUCCUCCCUCAUUUCUCCCAUCUUUGAUACCCAUGUCCCUGGGCUUCUCUCCAGGUCUUCUACUCAGCAUGUGAUAUGAUCAGGCCAAAGCACUCAUUAAACAACGUGUAGCAGACACAGAGCGCCAAAGAGAUCUAGCCAGGACCCCAUCUUUUAUCGCCAGUGAAUCUGCCAGGUACUCUGCCUCCCCCAUGGCAUAUCUAACUAAACUUGAAGUCCCUAAGCAUCAGAGGGCCUUUACCCUGGCACGAUGUCUCGCCCUCCCCUUGGCUGUUAUUGAAGGUCAAUAUAGGAAGAUUGCUUACUCAGAGAGACAAUUCGCCUGUGAUUCUGGAUAAAUAGAAACAAUAGAGCAUGUGCUUCUCCAGUGCCUAUAUUACAGAGACAUCCAUCUCCUGGACUUCCCUCAUACUUCUGUUUUGUUUUCCAUUUUGUUCACCCUGCGUAUUGUUUCCUAAAAUUUUUCUCAAUACAUAUCGUCUUCUUUUUUUUUUUAAUACAGUUGUGAUUGUUUAUUCAAACCCUGCCAAUGAGUCCAUUUCUUUAUGUUGCCUCUUCAUAUAUGUUGUAAAUAG